rnacentral:sRNA from 1 species
UCAAAAUCAGUGAUGCUGUUGGGUACGC